AUGCUUCUAGCUCCAGAGCUUUACAAGAUUACCUCCCAAAAAAACAGAUCGGUGCACAACGAGCUAAGGAACGAGAACUGGAUCAGGGUGGUGGCCAGACUCCAAACCAUUCAGCAACUGGGAGAAUCUGUGUCUCUCUGGAAUCAGAUCAGUCAAAUUACCCUCCUUCCUGCCCAGGAGGACAACAUUCACUGGAACUUAACCACCUCUGGGGCAUACUCUGCUGCCUCUGCCUACAGCGCACAAUUCUUUGGCUCCUACUCACGUUUUGACAUGUACAAGAUCUGGUCCGCAAACGCUGAGCCCAAAUGCAAGUUCUUUGCCUGGCUAGCUCUACACGGAAGAAUCCUCACCACGGAUAUGCUGGCUGUGAGAGGAUGGCCUCACGACCCUAGGUGCCUGCUGAAGGAAAUAUGCCCUAGAGGCAAUAAUAAAGUUGUUAUUUAUAUUUCCUUAUAUCAUGAUAAAUGUUUAUUAUUCAUGCUAGAAUUGUAUUAA
rnacentral:rRNA from 1 species